GAAGAAGAAGGAAGAGCGAAUCAAUGCUUUUCCCUUAUACAACUACUUUAUUAUUUAUUACUCAUCGCCAUGGAAGGAAGGACCUGGAUUUCUUACAUUCCAUGCUUCUGUUUCAAUUCAUAGGUAUUCUAUUCUCCGAGCUAGUAGAUCUUCUUUGAUAUCUCUCUUUUUCAAUAUCAUUUAUAUUUUAUCCAGUAUUUGUUGAUUAUUACUAUGUUUUGAUUGAUUAUUAGAAUUUCUGUUUUUGUUCUGUAGAAGAGAUUGUACUCUGUUCUGUAAGAUUGUUGAUUUUUCAAUUCGAAGUUUUAAUUUGUUCUUGAAUAUUGCAUUAUAUUUUAGCUCAGAGAACUGAUUUGGAACAUGUUUUAUACCAAUUAAUUUCAGCUUAGUUUGUUAAAUACAUUCUUUGAGUAGCAUACUGGGAAUUCCCUUUUUUGUUUUUGGUUCUAACUUUUAGUAGGCUACAUUUGUUUGCAAAAAUGAUGGGUUUUGGAAUAAUUCCAUAUAAUUGUUGGGAGAGAACCGGGGAUCCCACACAUACAUACACAAGGCACUAUUAUACAUAUUUGGAACCCAACUUUACCCACACAAGGCACUAUCAUACAUGUUUAGAACCCAACUUGACCCAAAAGUUUAAGCCAAUAAUUCUUGGGGAAUGUAUAUUAGUCCUGCACUCUUUCAUUAUUUCUUCGAUGUGGGACUUCAAUUUGUCAAAAUUUCACGAUUCAACGUAGAGUAAUGAUUCAAUGAAUCGUAGAGUAAUGUUUGAAUGAAUGAAUUUUCAUUUAUCUGAAUUACUAAAACUACCUUACAGAAAAACUUACUUUACGAUGAAUCUCUUACUCUAUUUAUAUUACUAUAAACCUAUCUAUAUACAUUCUGUAUCUAUACUUGUUAGUUAUGAUCUAACUGUCCGAGCUCUUCUACUUCUAUGUAUGCUAACUACUAACCGCUCUCCUGAAUACACGGAAUAAGCAACACGUGCUACUAACUGCUCUCCUGAAUACACGGAAUAAUCAAUACGUGUUACUGCCACUGUUUAUGAAAAUCACCCCCAUUGUGUGAUGCCGACCCUGUGUAUUUGAGUCCACUUAAUAUAGAUGCUUUAAUUUCUUUAGUCUGGAUGCCAGUUUUAGUUACUGCAGAAACCACAUAUGGGUCAUGACAUUUGGUGUGACAUGGAUCUUGGCAUUGUUGUUGUGUUGAAUCAAUAAUAUCUUCAUCACUCCCCCCACAAGCGAAAGGUGAGAAAGUAUUGAUCACCUUGAGCUUGGACAAUUAGUGCCAGUGUCGAUCUCUGUUUAAAGCCUUGGUAAAUAUGUCGACUAACUUAUGAGCAGAAGAAAUAAAAGUUGGAGAAAUGAUGCCAUCAGUAACCUCUUCCCAGAUAAAAUGGUAAUCCAAAUCAAUGUGUUUAGUUCUUCCAUGAUGAACAAGAUUUUCAGAAAUGUGAAUUGCUGCCUUAUUGUCACAAUAGAUAGAGAUAGGCUCAGUUAUAGCAAUGGAAAAAUCCUUCAACAGACCUUUAAACCAUAGAACUUCACAAGUGGUGGUUGCUAAAGCACGGUAUUCAGCCUCAGCUGUAGAUCAAGUAACCAAAAAUUGUUUCUUAGCUUGCCAUGAAAUUAGAGAAUCGCCAAGUCUGAUACAAAAACCUGUGAUUGAUCUGCCAGUGUUGGGGUAUGCCCCCCCAAUCACUAUCACAAUAAGCACUCAAAGUGAGAGAAGAAGUGGCUGACAAUAAAAUCCCUUAACCUAUUGUAGCCUUGAUAUAUCUAAGAAUUCGCUGGGUUGCUUGAAAAUGAACAAGAGUAGGAGCCUGCAUAAAUGACUAAGAGUUUGAACAGAAUAAGCUAUAUCAGGCCUGGUAAUGGUGAGAUACAAAAGUUUUCCAAUUAAAGCCCUAUAAAGAGAAGGAUCAUGGAAAGGACCAGAAGCAUUAAACUUAGUAUUUUGAAGCAUGGGUAAGGACAAAGGCUUGCAAUCUGUCGUAUCUGCAGUAUUAAAAGAUCAAGAGCAUAAUUCCUUUGGUUAAGAAAAAUAUCAGCCUCAGAUCUUGCAACUUCUAGACCUAAGUAGUAUUGAAGAGGACCUAAAUUUUUUAUGCUGAAUUUGAUGCCCAGAAAAGAUUGAGAGCUUCAAUGGUGGGGAGAUGAUCUCCAGCAACCAAGAUAUCAUCGACAUUGACAUAGACAUAGACAACUACUACAGUGAAAUGAUCUUGAUCAUGCUUGGUAAACAACGAAUAAUCUGAGAGAGAUUGAACAUAUCCAACAGCUAAAAGAGCUUCUUGAAGCUUAUGAAACCACUGCCUAGAUGCUUGCUCCAAACCAUAUUAAGGAUUUUUGCAAUUUGUAAACUAAAUUGGACUGACCUUGAGUAUCAUACCUAGGUGGUAAAUCCAUGUAAACCUCUUCAGGGAGAUCGCCAUGGAGGAAUGCAUUAUUGACAUCAAGUUGAUGUAAAUUCCAGUUCUUGGUAGCAGUGAUAGCCAAAUGAGUCCUGACUGCAGGCAUUUUGGCUACUGGAGCAAAAGUGUCAUGAAAAUCUUCACCCUCUGUUUGUGUAUAACCUUUGGCUACUAGUCUAGCCUUGUAUCUUUCUACAGUACUAUUAGCAUAGCAUGAUAUUUGACUUUGUAAAUCCAUUUGCAGCCCACAGGAACUUUACGUGAUGGUAAUGGAGUUACAAUCCAUGUUUGAUUAGCUUCCAAGGCCUGGAUUUCCUUUUUCACGGCUUCGUGCCAAUUGGGAUCCUUUUUAGCUUGAUUAUAGGUAGUUGGCUCUUUGAUCAAUGACAAGUUAUAUAAGAAAUGUUGAUGUGCAGGGGCAAAAGCAUUAUAUGAAAUAUAAUUUGAAAUAGCAUAUUUGGAAUGAACAUGAUUAGAGUGAGGCAUAACAUAAUCAUUGUGCCAUUUGGGAGGAACUUUAAGUCUCUGAGAAUUUCUUGAUGGGGGAACAAUAAUGUCUGUAGGAACAUUAAUUUCAGUGGAAGUAGGUUCAGGAACUGGAGAUGGAACUGAAGAUGAUGGAAAAUUAUCAGGAGAAGAAGAAUGAAAGAAAGGACUAUCAUCUAUGCAAGAAGUAGUGGUGUCAUAUGAGAGAGUUCUGUGUUGAAAAUCAUGAAGACCUAACAAAUUAGGAUUAUCUUUAAAAGAGAAGACAUCCUCAUAAAUACAACAUGCCUGGAAACAAAAAAUUGUUUGGUGCGAAUGUUAAAAAGUUUAUAACCCUUUUGUGUACGAGGAUAGCCAAGAAAAACAGCUGGGAUGGCUCGAGGGGCUAAUUUAUCAGGACUAUGAGUGGAAGCAAAACAUAGACAUCCAAAAACUUUAAGAUGCUGAUAUGAAGGAGGUUUGCCGAAUAAAAUUUCAUGAGGUGUGACAUUAUUGAUAACUGGAGAAGGUAAUCUGUUGAGAAAAUAAGUUGUGAGCAAACAAUGACCCCAAAAUGAAACAAACACUCUAGAUUUGAAUUUUAAAGCCCUAGUGAUUUCAAGUAAAUGUUUAUGUUUCCUUUCUAUUAAUCCAUUUUGCUGUGGGGUUUGAGAGUAUGAACUUUGAUGGAUUAUACCUUGUUUAGAAAAAUAGGUAUUCAAAAGAGUAUUAAAAAAUUCACCACCAUUAACACUUAGGAAGGCUUUAACAGAAGAAUUGAACUGAGUAUGCACAUAAGAAAUGAAAUUUUGCAAAAAUUUUAUUACAUGUUGCUUAGUUGUCAACAAGUGAGUCCAAGUGGAUCUGGUGAAAUCAUCAACCACAGUAAAAAAGUAACAAUAACCAUUCACAGUUGGAACCCUAUAUGGACCCCAAACAUCUACGUGAACUAGUUGAAAAGGAGCUGUAGUAACAGAACUAUUAGAAGGAAAUAGAAGUUUAUGCUGUUUUGCCAAUGGACAAACAUAGCAUUUAUUGGGACAAACAUGUGACAAACUUUUAGCUCCAUCAGUAAUAUUUUUUAGCAGAGAGGAUGCAUGGCCUAAUCUUUGAUGCCAGAGAAAUCCAGUAAUAUUGCUUGUCGUAUUGAAGAGCUGGGAAGCUGGAAAAGUGAACUGAUAAAGACCUCCUUGCAUCUUAUCAGUAGCCAACACCUUCAUCUGGUGUUUGUCCUGGAUAAUGCAGUGAUUUGGUGAGAAUAUCAUAGUAAGAUUGGAAUCCUGAGUAAUUCUACUUAAAGAUAAUAGAUUAUAGUGAAAUGAUGGAACAUAAAACACAUUAUGAAUAUGUAAAGAAGGUGUUAGACUAACAUUUCCAAUUUGUGUGAUUGAAACCUUAGUACCAUUUGGAAAGGAAACAUGAACAGGGUAGUCAAUGGUAUGUAAAUCAUGCAUAAUAUUCAAAUUAGACCACAUAUGAUCAGUUGCCCCUGUGUCAACAAUCCAGUCAUUGGCACCAAAACAAUUAAGAACUAAAGCAGAGCACGAGAUGCCUGCAAUAUGAUCAUCCUGCGGUAGUUUUCCUUUAGCCUUAUUAUACUUGUACAUUAACUGAGUGAAUUGUUGUUUUAAUGCUUCUAGCUCGGGGUCAUCAGUAGCAACUGGCAUGGAAGAAUGAGAAACUGCAGAAGAAUCAUCAGGAUGAUGUAUAUGAGUAUCUAAAAUAGUCAAUUGCAUGGCUUUGUGACACAAGCAUGAGGGGGUCAAAAUUUUAUGACAAUCUUUCAAAUGAAGCUCCAAGGGUUCAACAAAUGAUUUCAAUUAAUUGGGCUAAAAGUUAUUAAGGAAAUUCAAUAAAAUAGUUGUGCCUCAAUUAAUAAGUUUGACCCAAGUAUUAUUGGACCAAGGGAGCGCAAUUUAAGCAGUAUUGGGCUGACCCAAUUGACUAAUUGAUUCAACAUAAAUUCCUAGCAGUCCAUGGAUUAUGUAUUACAUGGAAAGACAAUUUGAUACAAGCCUAGUUCAGGAAGUAGAAAAGAUUUUGUUUCCUAAAAUAUUAGGUAGAUUAUAUUAUAUUUUGUUUCUUUUAUUUUAGGUAAUUUAGCAUGAUUCUAGGGGUUUUUUAAUUUAUUUAGAUUGCAAUUCUAGAGACUUCUAUUAGGGUAAAAUUAUGGCAACAAUUUUAGGGUUUUUAUUGCCAUAAUAAGUUUCUAAUUGUUUUAUAGAAAUAGGGAUUUCUAUUCCAAAUUGGUUUGUAAUUCCUAUUAGGAUUAAGGUUUUUGUAACUAGUAUAAAUAAGGGUUACAUCUAUUGUAAUUGAGAACACAUUAUUCAUUAUUCAUUAUUCAUUAUUCAUUAUUCAAUAUACUUGUGCGGUUAUUUUCUUCUUUGGUUCUUUGAAGAAUUCCUGAGUUAAUUCUUAGUUUUCUUUGAGAUUCAACUUUGACUUAUCAUACAACAAUUCAUAGUUGUGUGUGGCGUCUUCUACUGCAUCAAUUGUCGAUUGUACCAAGAUUACCGCUUCAAUAUAAGCGAGGGGUUAAGGUGUCGUUGAUAUCCAUUCAACACAGAUUUCCUAGCGCGAGCAAUUGUACCAAGAUUACCAUCUAUAUAUAGGUGAGGGGUUAAGGUGUUGCGAGCAAUUCACCAUACAACUUUACUAGAAACGAUCCGGGCAACGACCACCUCACGCAAGCGUGCCGUGAAGUCCAUCACUUUGGGUGCAAUUGGCUUGUACUGAGAGGUAGAAAUAUUCUUCACAUGGCCUCCAGAAUUGUAAGGUUUAUUUCUAUUUUUGUUCCUAUUGGCAGGAUGAUUGACUGGAUAUCCAAUAAGUUUGUAGUAGGUAUCUUUGGUAUGACCAGUGAGAUGGCAAUAAGAACAUAUCAAGUCACUCUUGUUAACAUGUGUUCCCAUAGAUGCAGGAAGAUCCAUUUUCUGAGGAUGAUAUUUAGAGGUAAAAUCGACACCAUGUCCUGGAAGAGGUGCAGAAUUGGAACUACUUGCUAAAGCAGUAGAAUUAUGAGACAGACUAGAAAUAUAGCCUUGACGUUGCUUCUCUUCUUGCUUGAUGAGAUUAAAGGCUUGUGUGACAUUAGGAAGGGGCUGCAUCAUCAGAGUCUGUCCCCUGACAUUAGUAUAACUUUCAUGAAGUCCCAUGAGAAACUGUAUGACUCUUCGAUUAUGUUAUUUUGCUUCAUUUAGUUUAGUGACACCACAGGUGCAGUCAUUGCAGGUACAAACAGCUAAGGGAUCUAAAACAUCAUAUUUAUCCCACAAGUGCUUUAAUUUGAGAAAAUAAAUCUCAACAAAGUCAUCAUGUUGUUCAAGUUUAUGCAGAUCUUUCUGAAUUUGAUAGAUCUUGUGAGUAUCCACAGCUGAAAGCCUGAAAAUCGUUCAUGUAACUCUUGCCAAAUAGCAGCUGCACUGGUUAGAUAGGUCAUAUGAUCACUGAUGAAAUCAUGAACUGUGUUCAUGAUUCAUGAUCCAGGAAAUGACCAUAUCAUUGACUCGCUCCAAAAGAGGAUAAAGAUCAGAAGCUUUAUCAGGAGCAACAUAGGUUCCAGUUACAAUUUUAUUCUUUGCAAAUAAUGCGAUCUGCAUAGAUCGCUUCCACGGAGAGAAAUUUUCAAUGUCGAGUAGGUGUUUAGAGAUCAAAAUAAUUCCAGGAUUAUCAUUAUUAUGUAGAUAAAAUGGAUGAUUAUGUGAAUCAACAGAAGAAGAUGAAGAUGAAGGAGACAAUGAAGAUGAAGCAGCCAUGGCAAAUUGUAAACAAAAUGAACAUAUCUAAUGCUUUAAAAAACAAAUGUAAUUGAAAUAGAGAAAAUAGAUCUGGAACAAAAAAAAAAGAAAUGCGGAAGCUAAUCGAUAAUUCAGAUCUGAACAUGGCUUUGAUACCAUGUAAAAUUUUCAUGAUUCAAUUGGCAAAGAGUAAUGAAUCAAUAAAUCGUAGAGUAAUGUUUGAAUGAAUGAAUUUUCAUUUCUCUGAAUUACUGGAACUACCUUAUAGAAAAACUUACUUUACAAUGAUUCUCUUACUUCUAUUUAUACAACUAUAAACCUAUCUAUAUACAUUCUGUAUCUAUACAUGUUAGUUAUGACCUAACUGUCCGAGCUCUUCUAUCUAUGCUAACUACUAACUGCUCUCCUAAAUACACGGAAUAAGCAACACGUGUUACUAACUGCUCUCUUGAAUACAGAGAAUAAUCAAUACGUGUUACUACCACUGUAUAGGAAAAUCACCCCCAUUGUGUGAUGCCGACCCUGUGUAUUUGAGUCCAUUUAAUAUAGACUAAUUUCUUUAGUCUGGAUGUCAGUCUUAGUUACUGCAGAAACCACAUGUGGGUCAUGACGUUUGGUGAGACAUGGAUCCUUGUUGUGUUGAAUUAAUAAUAUCUUCAUUACAAUCACUUGUAAUAUCUAACAAUCUUCCCCUCACAAGUGAGUCUAUCACAUAAAGAAUUCCCCCUUACUUGAACACUUCUCUUCAAUCACCGUGUUUUUCCAUCACGUGACUUUUGAAAAGGUUGUUUGGAAUUAAUUUUCUAAACUACUAUUCCAUGUCUUUUUGAAGAGGUUCAACAGCCCAGGAUUAAUCUUCCGUAGCCAUUAAUAUACAUGACACAACAUAUAUGUUUGGAACCCAACUUGACCCAAAAGCUUAAGCCAUUAGGUCUUGGUCCCAUUCAUGUAUAUUAGUACUUCACUUUUUCAUUAGUUCUCUUAUGUGGGACUCCAACGCUCUGUGAUAUCCUAACACAAAUGACCUUAGAAAUAAUGGAAAAUAGUCCAUGAUAUUAAAUAACGGAUUAAUCAUGGGAUAUAAUAGUCUAGAAUGUUAAUAAGUUAAUACAAAUAGUCCUAUCCCACCCACCACUCUUGCAAACAAAAUUCUGUUUGUUUUUAAUAUCAUCUGUUGGACAAAAUAUUCAUACCUGGUAGAAACUUGAUUUACUGGGCGUAUUUUAUUUGUUUUUUCUUGUGGCUGUAGCAAAAUCAGGAUCACACCACCUCUCCUAAGUGUUGAUGAAGGACCUUGUGUUUACAGCUUUCCAAAAUUAGGUUUUCUCCGGUUGAGAAGAAAAAUAAAACUGGUUGUGAUUUGAAAACUUCAAAAUUUACUCGAAAACAAUUGGGGCAGAAGAGAAUGGUUUCAACUGAUAAUGGUGAACAGAAUGGAGGGAGCGAUGAAUCUAAUGGUGCUAUAAUCAAGGGUCGUGUCCCUCUGCACAUUUCGCCAGCUCGAAGGGAGCUUAUCAUCUCUGACAACCCUCAAAAUCGAUCUGAUGGUAGCUCAACUGCUAUUGCCAACAGCAUGAGGUUCCUUAAUUUUGGUUCUUUAGAGUCUCCAUCUACAAAAUUUCAGAGGAUUGUGGUGGGGAGAGAUGAAAUUUCACGUAAUGUACCUUCUUCCAGUAGUCAUGCUUUUCGAGAACGCUUAAGUAGAGUAUUUAGUCGUAAAAUUGAUUGGACCUCCCUUAAGAAGAUUUGCAAAGAAUGGAUAAGGAAUCCAAUGAACAUGGUUCUUUUGGUGUGGAUAAUAUGUGUUGCUGUGUCAGGUGCAAUUCUAUUUCUUGUCAUGACUGGAAUGUUAAACAGUGCCCUGCCAAAAAAGUCCCAGAGAAAUGCCUGGUUUGAAGUCAAUAACCAAUUUCUCAAUGCAUUAUUUACCCUUAUGUGUCUGUACCAACACCCACAGCGAUUAUACCACCUUGUACUUUUGUUGAGAUGGAGACCACAAGACAUUUCUAGGCUCAGGAAGAUUUACUGCAAGAAUGGGACUUAUAAACCUCACGAGUGGGCACACAUGAUGGUUGUUAUAUCUCUACUCAACCUCAAUUGUUUUGCACAAUAUGCUUUGUGUGGUCUUAAUGUGGGUUACAAGAGAUCAGAGCGACCUGCAAUUGGCGUUGGUAUAUCUAUUUCUGUUGCAAUUGGUGCCCCUGCGAUUGCUGGUGUUUACUCCAUUGUUAGCCCCCUUGGGAAAGACUACCAUUCUGAACUGGAUGAAGAAGCACAACAACUUCAGAGUACCUCUUCUGACAGUAGCAGGCCAAGCCAGCUGAGAUCAAAAUCAUUACAAAAGCGAUUCUCAUUUGCAUCUAGAGAUGAGGAAAGGAUUGUAGAAAAUAGACCACAAUGGAGUGGAGGUGUACUUGACUUUUGGGAUGACAUAUCUUUAGCAUAUCUUUCUUUAUUCUGUAGUUUUUGUGUUUUUGGGUGGAAUAUGGAGAGAUUUGGAUUUGGGAACAUGUAUGUUCACAUUGCAACUUUUCUUCUCUUCUGUAUGGCUCCUUUUUGGAUUUUUAAUUUGGCUGCCAUUAAUAUCAACAACGAAAUUGUCAGGGAGACAUUGGGGCUUACUGGUGUUUUUCUUUGUCUCUUUGGGUUACUCUAUGGUGGGUUUUGGAGGAUUCAGAUGAGGAAGAGAUUCAAUUUGCCACCAUAUAAUUGUUGUGGUGGUAAACCAGCUGUUGCAGAUUGCGCAUUGUGGCUUUUCUGCUGUUGGUGUACUCUUGCUCAGGAAGUGCGGACUGGGAAUUUCUAUGAUAUUGUGGAGGAUAAGCUUUGCAGAAAACUAGUGGACGAAAGUACCCAGUUGCCAAUUUCUCCUUUGCCCCGUGAAGAUGGAGAUUUCCCUAUUAGAUCUGCCCCGACUUCUCCUAUGGGGGACAUCUCCUCUCCAGCCCAAAUUAUCAAAUCAAAUUCUCCAAGUCCUAGUAGGUUUUCAAACGAUUAUCGUAGUCCAGGCAGGCAGCUUCCUAUGGUGGAAGAAGAGCCUGAUACAAAAGGUAAGGAUGAAACUAUGACACCACCUGCUCCUUCAUUGAUACAAAGAGAAGCCAGUUAAAAGAAUAUAAUUUUGAAAUGCAGAUGUGAAUUGCAUUAUGAAAUGCUGCUUGUCCCCAUUCAAUUUAUGUGUAUUUUGAGUAAAUCAAUAUGUUUAGCAAUAUUACGUAAGCCUUCCCUCCCCCCUCCCGCCUCCCGCCCUCUUGUUUCCUGGUACUGUAGUAUAUUAUGUCCUUCAUGUACAAUAUCUUACCUGGUUGUUUACUGUUGUUUGUACUUGAAUGUGAAGUAAAACUCCUUAUAGUUGAUCAGGCUUUAGGGCUCCCUUCCCAGACACUCCUUUAACUCAAAUUUAAUUUUGCAGCCUUGAAAAGACUAGUUCAAUGUAGUUAAUUUAGUGAGUUAGUGUAUGACUAGAAUUUUGACUAAUUUUCAACAUCAAGUUUGCAUAAAACAGAGAACAAGAAGUUGUUUGACAAUUCAAACCAGAAGGUUUUCGGAAAUACCAGUUCUAAUCAUGUUCUAAGUUUGUCAGUUUGAAUAAACUAGAUAAUACUAACCACAAUUGAUAAAUUUUUCCUUCCAAUGAAGUAUCUUAUGAGUGCGGCUUCCUAACUUAAUUGUGGGAUGUCAUGUUUUAAUCUUCCUUAAUGUUUUGUAUGUGUGAUGAGUAGUUCAUUGCUAUUUGCAGCUGAUUCCAAGGGGUAAUGCAGUUGUUUAUAACAGAUAUCAAGUUGAGUAAAUGACUAAAAUUCUUUGUUCUUAUACUGCACUAUCCUUGCUUCUAGUUUUUCUUAUAUAGACUUGAAGAAUCCCGGGUUGCUAGUCAUCUUAUUUGUGUACAAUUCGUGAGAAGAAAUGCAAUAUCUGCUAAAUUAUAGCUAGUUCAAUGAGCCUUCUGGUUGAAUAUCCUGCAAUUGUGAGUGUUUUUCUGAUGCAAAGUCCAAACUAUACAACAAGAGAUAGUUAGUCCCACGUCAGUUAUAAGGACAAUUUGGUGUGGUUCGAUUUUCCUUUUUCUUGAAUAUUGUUGUAUUAGAAAUGUAUUUUAAAUUUUGGAUCGGAUGGAAUUUAGGUACAUUAAAUUGAUAGGUCUCCAUCCAAGUGUUUUUUGUAUCUGCAUGGGUUUUGUAUGUGGACGAGGAUAAUGGGAGUUGUUAAAGAAGCCACUAAUCUCCAUUAAACUUUAAUUCCGU
rnacentral:lncRNA from 1 species